GUCAGUGGGCCAAACAAACCUGAAGAACUUUGGAUGAUAUUAUUCUUAGGGCUGGCUUUGUUAAACUCAAGUAAAUAGUUUGAAUGUUGGAUUAUAAAAAUAGGAGGGACUCUGGGAAUGUAGUUCAGUGGUAGAAUGACUGCUAGUAUGUUCAAAAUUGUAUGUUGAAUUCCCAUAAUGUCAGAACAAAGCAAAAUGCACAGCAAGGACAAUGACAACUGGCUCAUGUUAAAAGAAUAUUUGGAUGGCUUUGCUGGCUGCCUGCAUAGUACCGCAUUUAGGGGCAUGAGUGUGAAGUUCAGAAGACAACUUAUGGGAGUCAGUUUUCUUCUUCUAUCAUGUGGAUCCCAAGGAUCGAAUUCAGGCGUUUGGGCUUGGUAGCAAGUACCUUUACCGACAGAACAUCUCACUGGCCCUUGUCUUUUUGUUUUAAGACUGGAAACUGAGGCACUUGUGAGGUCAAAUAACAUUACCAACUAGCAUGGGAAAUGAAC
rnacentral:lncRNA from 1 species